AUAGAGAGAAAGAGAACCCGAACAGAUUCCUUCUUUUUUGGGGGGCGAAGAGCUCUUUCGGCUUCUGCUUUACUUUCUUUUUCACAAGAAUAGACCCACAAUUUUCUCCUCCAUGGUUGCUACUUAACCACCAUUAGUACACCACCUAAACUCCAUGGAAAUAGGACCCUUUUACACCUGAAACCAAGCCCGAAACCAAUUGAGAACCAGUCCAAAUAGCCACCAUCUUCUCCUUCCGAAAUCACCUCUAAACCCUCCUUAAAAUCGCCCAAACAUCACCAAAAACCAGAUAGAAUUUCCAGUUCAAAAAACGCAAUAACACGGCCUCGAGAACGCUGUAAAAUCAGCUCCAAAAACGUGAAAAAGCAUAGCUCAAAUUCAGCUGUAAAUCAGUCCAAAACCCAACGCCAAUCAUACCUUAAACCACCACAAAGAGAGUCGAGUUUGAGUUUGCCGACACUGUUUUCCGACGUGGUCGCGGGUGUUAGGUCCGUUUGUUGAGUUGCAGAAACUUUAAAGUUGGGACGUAAUCAAUAAAGUUUCAGAAUAUUUGGCUUGGAGUUGAGUGUUAGAGUGGCGUUGGAGCCGGUUAUGGAACUUCGGAGCGAAGAUAUGACAUAUUCAUUUGGUGAUCAUCUUGACGCGUAGGCGCACUUGUUGAGGAGACUUUAUGUGAGCUACAUUCCAGGAUACGCAUCGCAGUCCACCGAAUUUCCAUCGUACUAUUUAUUUUAUGCUAUCUUAUUUACAUUCGGGGCAGAUGUUGUAUUAUUAUUGUACUUCUUAGAAAAUGCUCAUGCACUUGUGAUACCGGGUUUUGGGAUUAUACUAGCUGAUGCUUAUGGUUUCGUAUA